AUCUACAGCCAUGCCACCCUGAACAUGCCCGUUCUUGUCUGAUCUUGGAAGCUAAGCAGGGUCAGGCCUGGUACUUGGAUGGGAGACCACCUAGGAAGACCAGGUGCUGUAGGUG
rnacentral:rRNA from 1 species